GACGAACGCUGGCGGCGCGCUUAACACAUGCAAGUCGAACGGAAAGGCCUGCUUUCCCUUGUGGAUUGCGGGUACUCGAGUGGCGAACGGGUGAGUAACACGUGAGUGAUCUGCCCCCAACUUGGGUAUAAGCCUGGGAAACUGGGUCUAAUUCCCGAUAGGACUGCAGGGUGGUGCCUGUGGUGGAAAACGAUUUUCUAGUGGUUGGGGAUGAGCUCGCGGCCUAUCAGCUUGUUGGUGGGGUAAUGGCCUACCAAGGCGGCGACGGGUAGCCGGCCUGAGAGGGUGGACGGCCACAUUGGGACUGAGAUAAGGCCCAGACGCCUACGGGAGGCAGCAGUGGGGAAUAUUGCAAAAUGGGCGGAAGCCUGAUGCAGCGACGCCGCGUGGGGGAUGACGGCCUUCGGGUUGUAAACUCCUUUCGACCGCGAGGAAGCCACCUGGUUGGAAGGGUGGUGACGGUAGUGGUAGAAGAAGCACCGGCUAACUACGUG
rnacentral:rRNA from 1 species